UCCUCCUUUUGUUGGUCAGAUCUCUAUCUUUUUCUCUCUCUUUCUCUACAGCUUUUGUCUGUUCUUCUGUUGUUUUUCUUUCUCUCUGUAGAGCUUUUGUAUGUAUGAACACUCGGCCAACAACAACAACUGCUACCCGCGGGGUUGAGCAGCACCCGCUUUAAAUCCACUCAACCAUCAUUCGUCUCUUGGCAGAAAAAGGUAAAGACUUUACCCAACUUAUUACUCUAUUAGCUUUGUUGGCUUCCUAUUUUGUUUUCUUUUCAAAUAAGUGAAGUUCAAUUAAGAUAAUUCAAUUGCUUUAAACGAUCAGAUUUAGUAUAAGAAUUUGAUAAUACAACAAUCCUAAAAAAAUCAUGAAAUUGAUUGAAUGAUCAAAGCACAGCAUGAAAGUGUAUAAAAUUGUGAAAUAAUUAUCUUAAAGAUGAAAAUAAGUGUAUUAGAGCUAAAGCGAUAAUUGAAGUUGGUAUUUAUACGAAACAAAACAGUUGUUACGAUACUCUCAUACACACCCCAUCAAAUGCUCAUUUGACCGGCCUCCUCCUGAAUGCAUUUUUGUUCGAUGGAAAACAAGCCCUACUUUCCCUGAGCAUUUGCUAGCUCUUUAAAAAACGAAACUCAUAAUUUAUAUAAAAAAAAGUAUUUAACACCCAUCAACCAACUCCGUGUAUUACUCAAACUUUUUUCUAAAUGCAUUUUUGUUUGAUGGGAAAGAAUCUAACUUUCUUUCCGAGAAUGAGCAAGUUUUUCAAGACCGAAACCCGUCAAUAAAAUUCAUAUAUUACUAUGUUUCAUAUAAAAAAAAUGUCUUAAAUAUUCAUAUUUGAGUGGAAAAUGGAAAUGUGGUGAUUUUCUUUGUAGAUGAAACAAAGAGUAAGAGACUAAUUCUAGCAUAAAAAAAAGAAGAAGAAUAGGAAUAUUCUUGAUUUUAAUAAUUGAGAAGAAACUAGGUAUUUGGAAUAUUAAAAUGGUGGAAGGUGGCCUCCAUUCACGAAUGGGACACCAACGACUAAAUUCUUUGUUCAUGUGUAAAGAGAAAAAAAAAUUGAUUUGAUUAUAUUUGUUAGGUUUGGUUGUUGAUUGGAUUUAGGGUUUGGAAAUUGGAAUAAGCUCAUCUUAGAGGUAUAUCCCUAAUUUCUAUACAUCUAAAGUUUAUUGGCCUAGUGGCAUAGCGACAUUCAUAAUAUUCUUAUGGAUUUUGGGUUAUAUUCCGAUAAUUUACCCUGUAAAUAUGUAUUUGGUAG
rnacentral:lncRNA from 1 species